CCCCGGCCCGUUCCCGCCCCGCCGAAUAGUCCGGAUUCUCCAUUACUAGGUCAGUCGCUCCAGAAGCAGAUGCGCCUCCUGCUGACAUAUCCUGAGAAGGUCAAUGGUAGACUGACGCCAGCUCGCAAUGCCUGUAUUAUUCACCUCACUUCAUCACAUCACAUAGGCAUUUUAUCAUCUCACAUCAUCACAAGAAAAAGGGAAGUUGAGGCUUCUUCCCCCAAUGCCUGUUAAUGGUAUCCAGGUAAAUCCCUCUAUAGUCAAAGAGUAUAAUAUAUAUUAUUUCAACCAAUUUUCCUUUAAAAUUUUUGACUUGGGUUAAUUAGAGGUAUGGCAUUUAAUUUCCAAGUAUUUGGGGACUUCCUAUCUUAUUUUAUUGAUCUCUAUUUUCAUUAAAUGUAGUAGAGAAUUUUCUCAUCCUUUGAAUUAACUGAGCCUUGCUUUAAGACCCAGUGUUUAACCUAACUUGGUGAACAUUCCAUAUGCAGUUGAAGGGAAUUUACAGUCUGACGUUGUUGUGUGUUCCAUGUGCAUUCUAUAAAGUAUUCUAUAUAUGCCAAUCAAUUCAAGAUGGUAGACAGUGUUGUUCAGCUUUUCUAGAUCUUUAAUAUUUUUUGUGUAGAUGCUCUAUCAACUGCUGAGAAUGAGUUAUUAAACUUUUUUAAAGACUCACCAUUUAUUUUAGAGAGAGAGCACGUGAGAGCAUGAGCAUGUGGGG